UGAAAUUGUCAAAAACUAAAAUCUAAUUACCAUUAGUAACCAAACACUCCAAAUUUUGGAGUGUUGGUCGAUCAGAGCAGAAGAAGGGGGCGACACCCCAUUCCAAAACCCUAAACUCUCAAAAACCUCAAAUUGAAAGCCCAAAUCUGCUCUAAAACGAAAUCUAAACAUAGAUUAGUGAUCCUCAUCACGAAAGGAUUCUAAGGAAAAGAAGCCGGGGCAUCUAGUGGACAAACCGGUGUGGACGCUCGUUUGAAGGGCUCGCUUUGAAAGGUGAUUAGAAGUCAAGGAUGGCGAUCAAGCGACAAGAUGAAUGAACCGAACACUCCAUUUCGAAGCUUCCGCUAUGUUAAACUUGUUAAACAGUGUUUCUUUUGUUGUAAU